GAUGAACGCUGGCGGCGUGCUUAACACAUGCAAGUCGAACGGAAAGGCCAGUGCUUGCACUGGUACUCGAGUGGCGAACGGGUGAGUAACACGUGGGUGAUCUGCCCUGCACUUCGGGAUAAGCCUGGGAAACUGGGUCUAAUACCGGAUAGGACAAUGGUUUGGAUGCCGUUGUGGAAAGUUUUUUCGGUGUGGGAUGAGCUCGCGGCCUAUCAGCUUGUUGGUGGGGUAAUGGCCUACCAAGGCGUCGACGGGUAGCCGGCCUGAGAGGGUGUACGGCCACAGUGGGACUGAGAUACGGCCCAGACUCCUACGGGAGGCAGCAGUGGGGAAUAUUGCACAAUGGGCGCAAGCCUGAUGCAGCGACGCCGCGUGGGGGAUGACGGCCUUCGGGUUGUAAACUCCUGUCGCUAGGGACGAAGCGUAUUUGUGACGGUACCUGGAGAAGAAGCACCGGCUAACUACGUG
rnacentral:rRNA from 1 species